AACGAACGCUGGCGGCAUGCCUAACACAUGCAAGUCGAACGAAGCCUUCGGGCUUAGUGGCGCACGGGUGCGUAACGCGUGGGAAUCUGCCCCUCGGUUCGGAAUAACAGUUAGAAAUGACUGCUAAUACCGGAUGAUGACGAAAGUCCAAAGAUUUAUCGCCGAGGGAUGAGCCCGCGUAGGAUUAGCUUGUUGGUGGGGUAAUGGCCCACCAAGGCGACGAUCCUUAGCUGGUCUGAGAGGAUGAUCAGCCACACUGGGACUGAGACACGGCCCAGACUCCUACGGGAGGCAGCAGUGGGGAAUAUUGGACAAUGGGCGAAAGCCUGAUCCAGCAAUGCCGCGUGAGUGAUGAAGGCCUUAGGGUUGUAAAGCUCUUUUUACCAGGGAUGAUAAUGACAGUACCUGGAGAAUAAGCUCCGGCUAACUCCGUG
rnacentral:rRNA from 1 species